rnacentral:rRNA from 1 species
AUUGAACGCUGGCGGAAUGCUUUACACAUGCAAGUCGAACGGCAGCACGGGGCAACCUGGUGGCGAGUGGCGAACGGGUGAGUAAUACAUCGGAACGUGCCCAAUCGUGGGGGAUAACGUAGCGAAAGUUACGCUAAUACCGCAUACGAUCUACGGAUGAAAGCGGGGGAUCGCAAGACCUCGCGCGAAUGGAGCGGCCGAUGUCAGAUUAGGUAGUUGGUGGGGUAAAGGCUCACCAAGCCAACGAUCUGUAGCUGGUCUGAGAGGACGACCAGCCACACUGGAACUGAGACACGGUCCAGACUCCUACGGGAGGCAGCAGUGGGGAAUUUUGGACAAUGGGCGCAAGCCUGAUCCAGCCAUUCCGCGUGCAGGAUGAAGGCCUUCGGGUUGUAAACUGCUUUUGUACGGAACGAAAAGGUCCUGGUUAAUACCUGGGGCUCAUGACGGUACCGUAAGAAUAAGCACCGGCUAACUACGUG